AAACCAACAGGGAUUGCCCCAGUAACGGCGAGUGAAGCGGCAGCAGCUCAAAUUUGAAAUCUGGCCGCCCCCGGGGGGGCCCGAGUUGUAAUUUGCAGAGGAUGCUUUUGGCGCGGCGCCUUCCGAGUUCCCUGGAACGGGACGCCAUAGAGGGUGAGAGCCCCGUCUGGUCGGACGCCCAGCCUCUGUAAAGCUCCUUCGACGAGUCGAGUAGUUUGGGAAUGCUGCUCUAAAUGGGAGGUAUAUGUCUUCUAAAGCUAAAUACCGGCCAGAGACCGAUAGCGCACAAGUAGAGUGAUCGAAAGAUGAAAAGCACUUUGAAAAGAGGGUUAAACAGUACGUGAAAUUGUUGAAAGGGAAGCGCUCAUGACCAGACUUGGGCCGGGCGAAUCAUCCGGCGUUCUCGCCGGUGCACUUCGCCGGGCCCAGGCCAGCAUCAGUCCGCCGCGGGGGACAAAGGCGUCGGGAACGUGGCUCCCCCGGGAGUGUUAUAGCCCGUCGCGCAAUGCCCUGCGGGCGGACUGAGGUUCGCGCUCCGCAAGGAUGCUGGCGUAAUGGUCAUCAGCGAC
rnacentral:rRNA from 1 species